UGGGGAAUUUUGGACAAUGGGCGAAAGCCUGAUCCAGCCAUGCCGCGUGAGUGAAGAAGGCCUUCGGGUUGUAAAGCUCUUUUAGUCGGAAAGAAAGAGUUGCAAUGAAUAAUUGUGAUUUAUGACGGUACCGACAGAAAAAGCACCGGCUAACUACGUGCCAGCAGCCGCGGUAAUACGUAGGGUGCGAGCGUUAAUCGGAAUUACUGGGCGUAAAGGGUGCGCAGGCGGUCUUGCAAGUCAGAUGUGAAAGCCCCGGGCUUAACCUGGGAAUUGCGUUUGAAACUACAAGACUAGAGUGCAGCAGAGGGGAGGGGAAUUCCAUGUGUAGCAGUGAAAUGCGUAGAGAUGUGGAAGAACACCGAUGGCGAAGGCAGCUCCCUGGGUUGACACUGACGCUCAUGCACGAAAGCGUGGGGAGCAAACA
rnacentral:rRNA from 1 species